CGACCUACAAACAUUCGUUGUUAAUUUGACAAAAUAUAAAACAUAUUACUAGUACAUAAAUAAUAAUAUCAGAUUUCAGAGGGAAGAUAAUUCCAUGAUUUAAUGGAUUUAUAUUUGAUGAAAUUAUAUUACAUGAUGCUGAUCUAAGAUUAUGGCAAUGACUUUUAUUAACAAAUUUAUAAUAGCUAAUAAAGCUAAUUGGUAAG